GACAGAGGCCUCAAGCGUUAGGCGGAAUCACUGGGCUUAAAGCGUGUGUAGGCGGAUCGUUAAGUGUCUUGUGAAAUCCCACGGCUCACCCGUGGAACGGCUGGGCAUACUGGCGAUCUUGGGCCAACUAGGGGCAACUGGAACAAGCGGUGGAGCGGUGAAAUGCGUAGAUAUCGCUUGGAACGCCGAAGGUGAAAACAGGUUGCUGGGGUUGUGCCGACGCUGAGACACGAAAGCCCAGGGGGAGCAAAACGGGG
rnacentral:rRNA from 1 species